AUUGAACGCUGGCGGCAGGCUUAACACAUGCAAGUCGAGCGGGGUGAUGGUGCUUGCACUAUCACUUAGCGGCGGACGGGUGAGUAAUGCUUAGGAAUCUGCCUAUUAGUGGGGGACAACAUCUCGAAAGGGAUGCUAAUACCGCAUACGUCCUACGGGAGAAAGCAGGGGAUCACUUGUGACCUUGCGCUAAUAGAUGAGCCUAAGUCGGAUUAGCUAGUUGGUGGGGUAAAGGCCUACCAAGGCGACGAUCUGUAGCGGGUCUGAGAGGAUGAUCCGCCACACUGGGACUGGGACACGGCCCAGACUCCUGCGGGAGGCAGCAGUGGGGAAUAUUGGACAAUGGGGGGAACCCUGAUCCAGCCAUGCCGCGUGUGUGAAGAAGGCCUUAUGGUUGUGAAGCACUUUAAGCGAGGAGGAGGCUCUUUUGGUUAAUACCCAAGAUGAGUGGACGUUACUCGCAGAAUAAGCACCGGCUAACUCUGUGCCAGCCGCCGCAGUAA
rnacentral:rRNA from 1 species